UUUCCGUAGGUGAACCUGCGGAAGGAUCAUUAUCAGACAAAGUGCGAGGGGCUUGUGAGGGCUGUACUUGACCCAAAGGCCGUGCAGGCCGGUGUGUGUCCUCUUGCAUAUUAUUCCAUCUCACCCUUUGUGCAUCACCGCGUGGGCACCCUUCGGGAUCAUCUCGGAGGGGGGCUCGCGUUUUCACACAAACCCCCCUUUUAAAAGUGUAGAAUGACCACAUUUAUGCAAUCAAUACAACUUUCAACAACGGAUCUCUUGGCUCUC
rnacentral:misc_RNA from 1 species